ACCGCCCACAGGCAGCCGCCCAUCCACUUGGCGUGCAGCGCACAACACGGUAUCUAUGACGUUGAGUUGAGAUUACACACGAAAACUGGUGGAAAUGCAUUUGGACAGUAGGCUGUAGGCCUUACAUCCGCCAUUGAUUUAUGGUUAUUGAUAGAAAAAUCGCGCCAUGUGCGAAAGUGAGAUUAUGGCAUAAACACACAUAAAAAUAGAUACCCAUCGGCGGUAAUCUAAUAAUAUAAGGUUGUAUAGCAUUCGUGGAAAAUUAAGCACUUCCGCCAGUGCAAAGCAGUGCAUGUUAUUUUUGUUUAACUUAAACAUGAACAUAAAAAAUAGUAUUACAGAUGAGGAUACUUGUAUUUUAAAUAUGCCAAAAACAUUAUUUUUAAUUGCGUAAUAAAUUCGUUGUAAUUACCAGG